rnacentral:rRNA from 1 species
AGUGAACGCUGGCGGUAGGCCUAACACAUGCAAGUCGAACGGCAGCACAGUAAGAGCUUGCUCUUACGGGUGGCGAGUGGCGGACGGGUGAGGAAUACAUCGGAAUCUACUUUUUCGUGGGGGAUAACGUAGGGAAACUUACGCUAAUACCGCAUACGACCUACGGGUGAAAGCAGGGGAUCUUCGGACCUUGCGCGAUUGAAUGAGCCGAUGUCGGAUUAGCUAGUUGGCGGGGUAAAGGCCCACCAAGGCGACGAUCCGUAGCUGGUCUGAGAGGAUGAUCAGCCACACUGGAACUGAGACACGGUCCAGACUCCUACGGGAGGCAGCAGUGGGGAAUAUUGGACAAUGGGCGCAAGCCUGAUCCAGCCAUACCGCGUGGGUGAAGAAGGCCUUCGGGUUGUAAAGCCCUUUUGUUGGGAAAGAAAAGCAGCAGGUGAAUACCCCGAUGUUCUGACGGUACCCAAAGAAUAAGCAACGGCUAACUUCGUG